rnacentral:rRNA from 1 species
AGAGUUUGAUCAUGGCUCAGGACGAACGCUGGCGGUGUGCUUCACACAUGCAAGUCGAACGGGGUAGCAAUACCCAGUGGCGGACGGGUGAGUAACGCGUAGGAAUCUGCCUAUAGAUGGGGGAUAGCAGACCGAAAGGUCUAUUAAUACCGCAUAUGUAUGCACUUAGACAUUUGUGCAUAUGAAAGGAGUAAUCCGUC